CUUCGAUCAAGUUAGGUAUGCACUCGGAUCGAGUGAUGACCUUACAGACUGGAAGAACCUAAGAGAGGAG
rnacentral:sRNA from 1 species